rnacentral:snRNA from 1 species
AAGCUGUUGUCUCACUGCAAAUCAGCGGAUUAAUCUUUCGCCUUUUACUAAAGAUUACCGUGUAGUGGGACAUGAUUUACAGUACGUAAAAAUUUUUUGCAGCCCUCGCUCUCGAGGGCA